AACAUUGCAUUUGUUAUAUAUACAUCUAUAUCUAUACUACUAAUAAAAGUGUGAGUUUUGAAUUUUUUUCUCUUUCCAAAAAUAUCUCUAUGUAAUAAUUUAUUCUCAAAUAAAGAUAUUAAUAUUUUGCCAUUAGAUUUUAUCUAACGAUUGAAAAUAAAUGUAUCUGUCACUUUUUGUGACAAUAAUACCUUCGCAUUUAUAUCAUAUCUUCUAUCUACGAAUUUCUCAAAUAUUUUCCUUUCUUACGCGUAAUAUCCAUACCGGUCAAUUCUUUCUCAACAUAAUAUCCGUGAAUAUCCGUAAAUUUCUCAAAUAUCUUAUUAAUCCACCUAUCAUACACGUCAACCACCUACAUAAUAUCCGGUUAACCUUUCUCACACGUAAUAUCCACUCUCACACGUAAUAUCCACGCGUUUCUCAAAUAUCUCAUCAAAAUUUUAAUCUUUUCUCAUUGUUUCUCAAAAUUUUUCACAACCUAUCAUAAUUUUGAAUUAAAUAUAUCCUCGCAUUUGAAUUUAAAUAUUAAAAUAGAUAAAAAUAAAAUUUAAAAUUUAAAAUUAAAUAUGAAUUUUAUUACGAAAAUGUCUCUAUUUUUUAACUAAUUUUUUCAUAUCCAGAAAUUUUGAAUUCGUCAGAAAUAUAUAAUAUCUCCAUUAUCCUCGCAUUUGAACUUAAAUCUUAAA
rnacentral:lncRNA from 1 species